rnacentral:rRNA from 2 species
AUUUUUUCAUCGAAAUAUUAAUAAAUUUUAUGAAACCCAAAGGCGAAAUGAAAGUAAAAUAAUUUUUUUUUUUUUAAUUAAUUUAUUUAAAUGAAAAUUUGAGGGAGGAUAUAUUUUUAUUAUGUAUUGAAUAUCGCACUCCCAGGGCAUCUUAUACUAUUCUUAUAAUUAUUUUAUAUUUUUUAUUAUGAAUAAAGGUGCACCUAUAGCGUACACGCUGGGACCCGAAAGAUGGUGAACUAUGCCUGGUCAGGACGAAGUCAGGGGAAACCCUGAUGGAGGUCCGUAGCGAUUCUGACGUGCAAAUCGAUCGUCGGAACGGGUAUAGGG